rnacentral:rRNA from 1 species
GAUGAACGCUGGCGGCGUGCCUAAUACAUGCAAGUCGAGCGAACGGACGAGAAGCUUGCUUCUCUGAUGUUAGCGGCGGACGGGUGAGUAACACGUGGAUAACCUACCUAUAAGACUGGGAUAACUUCGGGAAACCGUAGCUAAUACCGGAUAAUAUUUUGAACCGCAUGGUUCAAAAGUGAAAGACGGUCUUGCUGUCACUUAUAGAUGGAUCCGCGCUGCAUUAGCUAGUUGGUAAGGUAACGGCUUACCAAGGCAACGAUGCAUAGCCGACCUGAGAGGGUGAUCGGCCACACUGGAACUGAGCCACGGCCCAAACUCCUACGGGAGGCAGCAGUAGGAAAUCUUCCGCAAUGGCCGAAGGCCUGACGAAGCAACGCCGCGUGGGUGAGGAAGGUCUCGGAUCGUAAAACUCUGUUAUUAGGGAAGAACAUAUGUGUAAGUAACUGUGCACAUCUUGACGGUACCUAAUCAGAAAGCCACGGCUAACUACGUG